rnacentral:rRNA from 1 species
GGAAGGUCGCCCGCGUUGGUACUGAGACACGGACCAAACUCAUACGGGAGGCAGCAGUGAGGAGUAUUGGUCAAUGGCCGAGAGGCUGAACCAGCCAAGUCGCGUGAAGGAUGAAGGAUCUAUGGUUUGUAAACUUCUUUUAUAGGGGAAUAAAGUGUGGGACGUGUCCCAUUUUGUAUGUACCCUAUGAAUAAGCAUCGGCUAACUCCGUGCCAGCAGCCGCGGUAAUACGGAGGAUGCGAGCGUUAUCCGGAUUUAUUGGGUUUAAAGGGUGCGUAGGUGGUAAUUUAAGUCAGCGGUGAAAGUUUGUGGCUCAACCAUAAAAUUGCCGUUGAAACUGGGUUACUUGAGUGUGUUUGAGGUAGGCGGAAUGCGUGGUGUAGCGGUGAAAUGCAUAGAUAUCACGCAGAACUCCAAUUGCGAAGGCAGCUUACUAAACCAUAACUGACACUGAAGCACGAAAGCGUGGGUAUCAAACAGGAUUAGAUACCCUGGUAGUCCACGCAGUAAACGAUGAUUACUAGGAGUUUGCGAUACACAGUAAGCUCUACAGCGAAAGCGUUAAGUAAUCCACC